UGGGGAAUAUUGGACAAUGGGCGCAAGCCUGAUCCAGCCAUGCCGCGUGAGUGAUGAAGGCCCUAGGGUUGUAAAGCUCUUUCACCGGUGAAGAUAAUGACGGUAACCGGAGAAGAAGCCCCGGCUAACUUCGUGCCAGCAGCCGCGGUAAUACGAAGGGGGCUAGCGUUGUUCGGAUUUACUGGGCGUAAAGCGCACGUAGGCGGACUUUUAAGUCAGGGGUGAAAUCCCGGGGCUCAACCCCGGAACUGCCUUUGAUACUGGAAGUCUUGAGUAUGGUAGAGGUGAGUGGAAUUCCGAGUGUAGAGGUGAAAUUCGUAGAUAUUCGGAGGAACACCAGUGGCGAAGGCGGCUCACUGGACCAUUACUGACGCUGAGGUGCGAUAGCGUGGGGAGCAAACAGG
rnacentral:rRNA from 1 species